AUGCCUAUACACCAUAAAUUCUGUAUAUUGAGUCUUGAGUCCGGCUGGGGUACUAUCGAUAGCACUAAGGAUUUGGUGUUAUUGAGUUUUUCACUGUUAGAUUUAACCUUUUGAUUAAUUUUAUCCGUUAGAUUAUACUAUUCAACCAGCCACUCACUCAACCUUAGAGGGCCCACAUCAUCUUUACCACACAUUUCCCAAUCCAAGGGCUAAAAAAUUAAUAGCACCAAUAACUUUGUGCUAUUGAUAGUAUUCCAGCCUAGUUCUUGAGUCUUUCUCCAACUAAUAUUUUUAAUUUAAAGGUCUAACUUUUUUUUCUUUUUCUUUUUUUUGAGGAAAAGAUAGCACGCUACUUGCUUCAUUCAUUAAAAAAGUGAACUAAGCUACAUGAGUGAGGCAUCACAGGCCUCGAGGGGGGUGAAAAAAAAAAAGAAGAAAAAACAAAGAGUUGAAACAUGUGAUAAAUUAAAAAUUAAUAAAUGCACAAAGUAUAAAUGUACAUAUGCAUAAGGCGUUUGCUCAACAGAAGAUAUGCAUAAGGACUAAAAUUAAACUCUCUUUAGGGUCUCUAAUGUCAAAAUUAGAAGUUCAAGAACCAAGAUGAAACAUAGCUGAAAGUUUGGGGUACUGGCGGUACAUUUUACGGUAAUUACUCAUAACUUUUCUACUGCAAAUUGUUAAUUGUUUGCCGAUUUUUUGGGUACGGGGAAGCCACCAGAUUCAAUUCCAAUGAACAAAUGGUAUUGGUAUGUUUUGCUUUUGAGGAAAUACACUAGAUAUUUCUAAACACUUGUUUUGUUAUGAUGCUUUUAAAAACACUAAAUACUUGGUGCUUGUAAGUUUUUUAUCGUUAAAUUUAUAUUUUUGACUAACUCCGGCCCUUAAAUUAGGCUAUUCUAUUGACUAGUUUUAUAUUUUUGACUAGUAUCUUUAAAAUUAUAGAAA
rnacentral:lncRNA from 1 species